UACGAAAGGUGCAAGCGUUACUCGGAAUCACUGGGCGUAAAGCGCACGUAGGCGGACUCGUAGGUCAGUUGUGAAAUACCUGGGCUCAACCCGGGAACUGCAGUUGAAACCGCUUGUCUUGAAUACCUGAGAGGGUGGGGGAAUUCAUGGUGUAGCAGUGAAAUGCGUAGAGAUCAUGAGGAAGACCAGUGGCGAAGGCGGGUCUCUGGACAGUUCCUGACACUGAGACACGAAGGCCAGGGGAGCAAACGGG
rnacentral:rRNA from 1 species